rnacentral:rRNA from 1 species
UACGUAGGGUGCGAGCGUUUGUCCGGAAUUACUGGGCGUAAAGAGCUCGUAGGUGGUUUGUCGCGUUGUUCGUGAAAUCUCACGGCUUAACUGUGAGCGUGCGGGCGAUACGGGCAGACUAGAGUACUGCAGGGGAGACUGGAAUUCCUGGUGUAGCGGUGGAAUGCGCAGAUAUCAGGAGGAACACCGGUGGCGAAGGCGGGGUCUCUGGGCAGUAACUGACGCUGAGGAGCGAAAGCGUGGGGAGCGAACAGG